rnacentral:piRNA from 1 species
UGGAAAGGCAGGCUGGCACCCAAGGA